rnacentral:rRNA from 1 species
CCCUUAGAUGUUCUGGGCCGCACGCGCGCUACACUGAUGCAUUCAACGAGUUUCUUCCUGGUCCGAGAGGAAUGGGUAACCUUUUGAAAGUGCAUCGUGAUAGGGAUAGACUAUUGCAAUUAUUGGUCUUCAACGCGGAAUUCCUAGUAGACGUAGUUCAUCAGACUGCAUCGAUUACGUCCCUGCCCUUUGUACACACCGCCCGUCGCUCCUACCGAUUGAAUGCUCAGGUGAGCCAUUCGGACUUUCAUCAUGCUGGUUUCCAGUUUUGAUGAAGGAAAGUCUUGCGAACCUUAUCAUUUAGAGGAAGGAGAAGUCGUAACA